rnacentral:rRNA from 1 species
AUUAAAUGAGAGUUUGAUCCUGGCUCAGGACGAACGCUGGCGGCGUGCCUAAUACAUGCAAGUAGAACGCUGAAGACUUUAGCUUGCUAAAGUUGGAAGAGUUGCG